AUUUGAGUUACCUGUAACUGAAAGAUCCCCGAAGAGAAACCCUUACUCAAGUCUCAGGAAGUCGAGGACCCCAGAUACAGAGAGACCA
rnacentral:pre_miRNA from 14 species